rnacentral:pre_miRNA from 1 species
UAUUAAAAAUUAUUUAUUUUUACUAUUAAAAAUUGAUAUAAUUGAUAAAAUAAUCAGACAAUUAUGUAUGACGUAUUACAUAUGCCUCAUUUUAUUGUACAGAGACCAAGUUUUAGUAAUAAAAAUAGAUAAAUAUUUUAACA